GUGGGGAAUCUUAGACAAUGGGCGCAAGCCUGAUCUAGCCAUGCCGCGUGAGUGAUGAAGGCCCUAGGGUUGUAAAGCUCUUUCAGCUGGGAAGAUAAUGACGGUACCAGCAGAAGAAGCCCCGGCUAACUCCGUGCCAGCAGCCGCGGUAAUACGGAGGGGGCUAGCGUUGUUCGGAAUUACUGGGCGUAAAGCGCGCGUAGGCGGACUGAAAAGUUGGGGGUGAAAUCCCGGGGCUCAACCUCGGAACUGCCUUCAAAACUAUCAGUCUGGAGUUAGAGAGAGGUGAGUGGAAUUCCGAGUGUAGAGGUGAAAUUCGUAGAUAUUCGGAGGAACACCAGUGGCGAAGGCGGCUCACUGGCUCGAUACUGACGCUGAGGUGCGAAAGCUAGGGCAGCGAACGGGAUUAGAUACCCGGGUAGUCC
rnacentral:rRNA from 1 species